ensembl:snRNA U6 U6 spliceosomal RNA
GUUCUCACUUCGGCAGCACAUAUACUAAAAUAGGAAUGACACAGAGAAGAUUAGCACGGCCCCUGUGUGAGGAUAACACGCAAAUUCCUGAGCAUUCCAUAUUUUU